UACGGAGGGUGCAAGCGUUAUCCGGAUUCACUGGGUUUAAAGGGUGCGUAGGUGGAUUAGUAAGUCAGUGGUGAAAUCUCCGGGCUUAACCCGGAAACUGCCAUUGAUACUAUAGGUCUUGAAUUUUCUGGAGGUUAGCGGAAUAUGUCAUGUAGCGGUGAAAUGCUUAGAUAUGACAUAGAACACCAAUUGCGAAGGCAGCUAGCUACAGGGAUAUUGACACUGAGGCUCGAAAGCGUGGGGAUCAAACAGU
rnacentral:rRNA from 1 species